UUUCCGUAGGUGAACCUGCGGAAGGAUCAUUAUUAAACCUUCAUCCGCUGCGCCGCGGCCCACAGCACCGGUGGUAACGCCGUGUUUCGUGGGCCGCGCGUGCACUCGUCCAAACCAAACCCCUGUGAACCUUACGGUAUGUCCUGGGUUAUCUCCCGAUUCCGUUCCGCUUUAUACAAGCACCUAUCAAGGAAUUAACUGAAGUCGCUCUGACCGCGGAAGAACAAAACUGAAACAACUUUCAACAACGGUUCACUUGGCACUCGCAUCGACGAAGAA
rnacentral:misc_RNA from 1 species